rnacentral:lncRNA from 1 species
AUCUUCUCUGCAUCUCACUCCAUGCGCACAGCAGUUCUGAAGGGUCAGAGUCAUUAUUAGCUCUACGCUGGGAAAAGUUGGAGCUAAGAGGCUGCAGAGCUGGUUUGGGCACCCAGGUUUGCCAGAUCUUAAAGCCUGCACUCCCCAUUCAGGCUCCCAGACAGCAUGGCCUGUGCCUUGGGCCCCUCUCCUGGACAGGGCUGGCAGUAGACCCUGACCUGUCCCAGUCCCAGCACUCAGGGGCAGGAGGGCCAGGCUCCUGUCACGGGCUGCAUUUGAGGCAGCCUGGAGCAGAACCUGGCAGGAGGCAGAGGUGGGGGGAUAGCCCUUCUGGCACUUCCAGGAUGGGCAAAGAUGGGGGCUUGCAGGGGUUCCCCAGGGCUCCCCAACUUGCUAAUAGAGUCUAUUUCACCAGCAGAGAAUUUGCAACUUGUUUCAGAAUAAUCAUCAAAUUUUAAAAAACUUAGAGCUAUGUAAAAUGCUGUAAAUUCAGCGUCUCUUGAGAAACCCAAUGUGUGGCCACCCCUGGGCCUGUAGGUUCCUGUAGGGUCUGGGCACCAGCAGCAGGAGCUGACGUGGACUGCCCAGCCGCCUCCUUGGUCCUCUGCUUCUCUAGCAUCUGGAACGUUUGUCUGAGGAUUUCAGAACAGAGGAGGGAGCUGUGGGUGGGUGUGGCUCUCUGCCACUCCCUGACACCCUCUCAGGAUUGGACCUCUUGGAACUCCUGCCCCUUCCAUUUACCUAUGGAUGCCUGGCACAUGAACUCAGGGGACUUUGUGACUUGAGCUUGGAUCUGCACAACACCCCACUGGCCUCACCUGGAGCUUGUUGGGAAGGCCCCUUCUCAGGCCCUGGAUCAUGGUCAUCGAGGAGGCGGUACCCGGCAGGAGUACGGCCUGGAUUGUCUGGACACUCCCGACAAGGGUGGUCUCUGAUUCACCAAGUCAGCCCUUGAGGCCAAAGCCUGACCUUGAAACUCAGCCUGGUUGUUCCAGCCAAGAAGGACGCUCAGGGCCUGCCAGGCCACUGUCAGGGAUGAAGGGGGCCUGGGUUGGCCAAGGGAGCACCUGCCAGCCUGGUGGAGCUCCCAGGCACACACACACACACAGUAGGUGUGGGUAG